rnacentral:rRNA from 1 species
UACAGAGGGUGCGAGCGUUAAUCGGAAUUACUGGGCGUAAAGCGCACGUAGGCGGUUUGUUAAGUCGGAUGUGAAAUCCCUCGGCUCAACUGAGGAAGUGCACCCGAAACUGGCAGGCUUGAGUACUAAAGAGGGUCGCGGAAUUCCCGGUGUAGAGGUGAAAUUCGUAGAUAUCGGGAGGAACACCGGUGGCGAAGGCGGCGACCUGGGUAGAUACUGACGCUGAGGUGCGAAAGCGUGGGGAGCAAACAGG